AAACUAUGCAGCUGUCUUUAAAAGAGACAUGAAGCCUCAACCACCAGAAAUAAAUAACAAGUAAGAAUGAUUCAGUUGACUUUUCCAGCUUCAAAUAAUGCAUUCAAAAAUUAAAUAUGCAUAAAACAUAAGACGAAGAAGCUGGAUCUCAAUCUGGAUGGGAAGAUGGAAGCUUUUCUCUAUACAAUUUAGAAGCAACACAAAGAUUGGUCUGCAACAAAAGCAAUGGAAGGCUUACUUCGCAGGAGAGAUGGUACCGACGCUUGUUCCUAAUCCGAGUUCCAGUGUCGGCAUCAUAUCUUCUACGGAGCAAGCCGAAGAUUUGAAUAUACAAUGCGAAGAAUGGCUCCCCAAGUUCAUGUACCUUCUCCUUUAGAGUUUAGGACUUGGAUUAGUGUCGAUAUCCAAAUUCCUUUUGAAGUAUCAGC